rnacentral:rRNA from 1 species
UACGUAGGGUGCGAGCGUUGUCCGGAAUUAUUGGGCGGAAAGGGCUCGUAGGCGGUUUGUCGCGUCGGGAGUGAAAUCCACUGGCUUAACUGGUGGCUUGCUUUCGAUACGGGCAGACUGGAGGUAUGCAGGGGAGAACGGAAUUCCUGGUGUAGCGGUGAAAUGCGCAGAUAUCAGGAGGAACACCGAUGGCGAAGGCAGGUCUCUGGGCAUUAACUGACGCUGAGGAGCGAAAACAUGGGGAGCGAACAGG